rnacentral:rRNA from 1 species
UACGUAGGGGGCAAGCGUUGUCCGGAAUCAUUGGGCGUAAAGAGCGUGUAGGCGGUCCGGUAAGUCGGCUGUGAAAGUCCAGGGCUCAACCCCUGGGAUGCCGGUCGAUACUGCCGGACUAGAGUUCGGAAGAGGCGAGUGGAAUUCCCGGUGUAGCGGUGAAAUGCGCAGAUAUCGGGAGGAACACCUAUGGCGAAGGCAGCUCGCUGGGACGUUACUGACGCUGAGACGCGAAAGCGUGGGGGAGCAAACAGG